UUUUUUUUUUUUAUUGUAUCUAGCAGCACACAUGUCAAAGCCUCCCUAGGGUUAUACACCCAGGAAACAUACAAAAAUGUUCCCAGCAGUGCUUUUUGAUAUAGGAAAACAACCGGAAACGAGGCAAAUGGCCUUUGGUAGGAAAGCAAAUAACCAAAGUGUGACACAUUUCACCUACUAUGUUAUUAUACAGUGGAGAAAAGGAAUGAACCACAGCUACGAGUAACAAUAUGCAUGAACUGAGAAACACAAUGUUAAAUAGAAAAAAAAAAAGACAUGUUGGAAAAGGAUACAUGCAGUGUGACACACUUUUUAUAAAGCUCAGAAAUAAGCAAACCUUGUUGAGUCAUGCUCACGUGUGAGAUAAACCUGUUUUUUAAAGUAGGGGAAGGAUGAACACAGAAUUCCUAGUAGCAGCUUCCUCUGGGGCAUAAAGCAGAUGCAUCGGAUAAGGAAGGAAUCUCGCACUGGGUAACAGAUUUAUUUGAUCCUAUAUAACUUAGACGUAGGUUACAUAUGUUCUUUUGUGUGUCUGAGAGAGCAUGUUAAAACAAUCAGAUGAAAAAAUAAAACCAUCUAUAGUCAUGAUGACUUACCCAGCUGAUGGAAUUCAAAUUCCAGAGUUCAAAAGCUUAGAAAUUACCUAUUUCGAACCCCUACCUUACAUAUGCCAAAAUGACUUCCAAAUUCCAAAGGGACUUGGUCCCAGUUGCACAACUCCUUAGUGAGUACAAAGGAUCAGAACUUCUCUUUUUUUUUUGUUUUUUUGUUUUUUUGCCUUUUCUAGGGCUGCUCCCGCGGCAUAUGGAGGUUCCCAGGCUAGGGGUCGAAUCGGAGCUCUGCCACCAGCCUAUGCCAGCGCCACAGCAACAGGGGAUUCAAGCCAUGUCUGCAACCUACACCACAGCUCAGGGCAACACCGGAUCCUUAACCCUGAGCAAGGCCAGGGAUCGAACCCACAACCUCAUGGUUCCUCGUCGGAUUCGUUAACCACUGAGCCACGAUGGGAACUCCAAAGAUCAGAACUUCUGUCUCCUGGUUCCUAGUCCACAAUUCCUCCUUCUGUU
rnacentral:lncRNA from 1 species